CCUACGGGUGGCAGCAGUGAGGAAUAUUGGUCAAUGGGCGCGAGCCUGAACCAGCCACGUAGCGUGAAGGAUGACUGCCCUACGGGUUGUAAACUUCUUUUAUAGAGGAAUAAAAUGAUGCACGUGUACCUUUUUGUAUGUGCUUUAUGCGUAAGGAUAGGCGAACUACGUGCCAGCAGCCGCGGUAAUACGGAGGAGCCGAGCGUUAUCCGGAUUUAUUGGGUGUAAAGGGAGCGUAGGUGGGUUGUUAAGUCAGUUGUGAAAGUUUGCGGCUCAACCGUAAAAUUGCAUUUGAUACUGGCAGGCUUGAGUACAGGAGAGGUAGGCGGAAUUCGUGGUGUAGCGGUGAAAUGCUUAGAUAUCACGAAGAACUCCGAUGGCGAAGGCAGCUUACUGGACGGCAACUGACACUGAGGCUCGAAAGUGUGGGGAUCAAACAGGAUUAGAUACCCUGGUAGUC
rnacentral:rRNA from 1 species